AUGGAGGAGAAGAGCUCUGGGCACAAGAAGGCAAGGGCGACCAACCCUCCGGCGUCGGCGCAGGAGAUGGCGGCGGCGGCCAGCCCCCUCACGGAUGACCUCAUCGUGGAGAUCCUGUCCCGCCUCCCCGCCAGGUCCGUCCACCGCUUCAAGUGCGUCUCGCCGUCCUGGCGCGCCCUCAUCGCGGACCCGGCCAACCGCAAGAAGCUGCCCCAGACCCUCGCCGGCUUCCUCUACAGCACCUACCACUGGGCAGAUCCUCGCUUCCAAAAGUUUCAUUUGGCCAACGUCUCCGUCGGCGCAGCCCCGCCGGUCGACCUGUCCCUCUCUUUCCUGCCACCCGACAAGUACUUGUACGUCGACCAGCUGGACGCCUGCAAUGGCCUUCUCCUCUGCCUCUGCUACAUGGCCCCUUCUUCUCCUUCAACGGACAAGCGUACGCCGCUUGAAUCUCAUUUCAUCGUGUGCAAUCCGGCCACCAAGAGGUGGGUCGAUCUGCCCCCUCACGCCAAGGUGCCAAAUGGCCAUCGCGGUGUAGCUCGUUUGGGUUUUGAUCCAGCAGUAUCGUCCCAUUUCCAUGUUCUUCAGUUUGAGAAGACCGAUCAGGAGGAUUGCGUCACAGGAGUGAACAUCUACUCUUCGCAAACUGGAGCUUGGAAGCGUAGACAAAGCCGCUUGGUUGAGAAAAUUACCCUGUACGCUGGCCUUGCAAGUGUCUUCUUUCACGGUAUGCUGCACUUGCUUGGUAUGCUGAAACCCAUGAAGUUGGACGACGAUGCUGUGCUGGUAGCAGUGGACAUGGAGGGGCAGGUGUGGAAGGCUAUCCGUGUGCCGUCAGGUGGUUUGAGUUUUGGUACGAUUGGAUUGUCACAGGGGUGCUUGCACUAUGCUACCACACCCCUAGGUAUUGUUGACAAGAACAAGAAGGAGGAUACAUCCCUAGCUACCAAGAUAGCAUCAGUCUGGUGCAUGGAAGAUUAUGAUAGUAAAGAAUGGGUCUUGAAGCAUAGUGUCAGCAAUGAUGAGUUAGGAAGCAAAACUAGGGCGGAGUACAAGGUGACUGCUAUUCAUCCAGACCGUGACACUAUUUUCCUGGAUUCAUGUGAUGUUGAUACAUUGGCAUCUUAUGAUAUGCAACAUCGGGAAUUCUGUCGUAUCCUUAAUCUUAAGAAAGACAGAGCACCACUGUUUGUACCCUAUGUUCCACUAUUCUCAGACUCAUUAGCAGGUGCAGAUGGUCAGUAG
rnacentral:rRNA from 1 species